rnacentral:ncRNA from 3 species
UACGAGGGGGGCAAGCGUUGUUCGGAAUUAUUGGGCGUAAAGGGCGCGUAGGCGGUUUGGCAAGUUUGGUGUGAAAUCUUCGGGCUCAACUCGAAGUCUGCAUCGAAAACUGCCGGGCUUGAGUAUGGGAGAGGUGAGUGGAAUUUCCGGUGUAGCGGUGAAAUGCGUAGAUAUCGGAAGGAACACCUGUGGCGAAAGCGGCUCACUGGACCAUUACUGACGCUGAGGCGCGAAAGCUAGGGGAGCAAACAGG